CGGACGGGUGAGUAACGCGUAGGAAACCUGCCGUAUACUGGGGGAUAACACUUAGAAAUAGGUGCUAAUACCGCAUAAGCGCACAGCUUCGCAUGAAGCGGUGUGAAAAACUCUGGUGGUAUACGAUGGUUCCGCGUCUGAUUAGCUAGUUGGUGGGGUAAUGGCCUACCAAGGCAACGAUCAGUAGCCGGCCUGAGAGGGUGAACGGCCACAUUGGGACUGAGACACGGCCCAAACUCCUACGGGAGGCAGCAG
rnacentral:rRNA from 1 species